UCGGGCAAGCACGCAAUUGCAAAUACAAAAGAUGAUUCCAGAUAGGUGAACCGCCUCGGUGUUGAGAGGAAGAAGAGCGAAUCUAGUGAGAGAAAAAGCUCAGCGCUUGAAUCAUUUUCCAAUUCGAUGAUCAGAGCCUAAAAUUGACUAGGGUUUCUAAUACAUACAUGUAUAGAUAUAUGUAAAUUUGGAAAUUGAAGUUACCGUUCUGCUUCAGCCCUGGGGAGUGAGAGCAAUCAUUCCAGGGUUUGUUGUCGUUGCGUCGAUUGGCUUCGGCUCAUGUUCAAAAUGGCGAUUGAUUCCCCUCCGGAUGUUACCACUUCUCCUCGAGAUCGUAUAAUACAGAGACUUACUCUACAAGGUCUUCCUGCUGAGAAUCUUGAGAAGCUUCAGCCAGGUCUAGUUGAUUUUCUUAAGGAUAACAAGUUCCGAAUUCCUGAUUUAGUUUCUGCUAUCUUACCUAAUGACAAUGAGGUAGUGUUGGCUGCUGAUCCAAGGCUUGCAGAUCACUUCCAUGAGAGCAUGGUUUGGUUGCAGUGGUUGAUGUUUGAGGGUGAACCAGUUGCUGCUUUGAAGAAUCUAGCCAAAAUGAGUGUUGGCCAUCGUGGUGUCUGUGGGGCUGUUUGGGGCGACAACGAUAUAGCAUACCGCUGCAGAACUUGUGAGCAUGAUCCGACCUGUGCUAUAUGUGUUCCUUGUUUCCAAAAUGGGAAUCACAAGGAUCAUGAUUAUUCUAUCAUUUAUACUGGUGGUGGUUGCUGUGACUGCGGAGAUGUGACUGCUUGGAAACGUGAUGGUUUUUGUUCAAAGCAUAAAGGUGCAGAACAAAUACAGCCCCUUCCAGAGGUGUUUGCCAACUCUAUUCGGCCUGUUCUUGAUUUGAUUUUCAUUUUUUGGAAAAAUAAGCUCAUGGCUGCAGAACCUAUAUCUCAAGAAAGUUCUAGAAUAGAUGGCCAUGAUGAAGAAUUCAGAAAGGUUGCAGAUGAGCUGACAUCUGUUGUUUUGGAGAUGCUUUUGGUGUUUUGCAAGUAUAGUGAAAGUUUGCUGAGUUUUAUUUCUGGGAGGAUGCUUUCUUCAUUUGGUUUACUGGAUAUUCUGGUGAGGGCCGAGAGGUUUUUGAGUGAUGAUAUUGUGAAGAAGCUCCAUGAGUUACUUCUGAAAUUGUUGGGAGAACCUUUAUUCAAAUAUGAGUUUGCAAAGGUCUUUAUAAAUUAUUAUCCAACUGUUGUCAGUGAAGCCAUAAAAGAGUUAAAUAAGAAUGCUUAUAGAAAGUACCCAUUGCUAUCCACAUUCUCUGUUCAAAUUUUCACCGUGCCUACCCUAACUCCACGUCUGGUGAAGGAAAAGAAUCUCCUGGUUUUGCUGUUGGAAUGUCUGGGUAACAUUUUUAUAUCUUGUGCUGGAGAAGAUGGGCGAUUACAGGUUACUAAGUUGGGUGUUUUAUAUGAAACUACUCUUCGGGUGGUUGGAGAUAUUCGAUUCAUCAUGAGCCAUACCACAGUUCCUGAAUAUGUGACCCACAAUCGGCGAGAUAUAACGAGGAUGUGGAUGAAGCUAUUGGCUUUUGUGCAAGGAAUGAAUCCUCAAAAGAGGGAAAUGGGAAUUCAUAUAGAAGAAGAGAAUGACGAUAUAAAUUCCCCUUUUGUUUUAGGUCAUUCUAUUGCAAACAUCCAUGCUCUUUUAGUUGCAGGGGCAUUUUCUGCUGAUAAUGUGGAGACAGAUGAUGAAAAUAUUGUCAUUGAAUCUGAAGUAGAUUAUGAUGACCGAGACAGCCCAAGACAUGCAAAAGUAGGAAGGCUUUCACAAGAAAGCUCAGUCAGUGGUGCAACGGGCAGGAGUAGUACAUCAAGCUUUGCAUCCAAGGUUGCUGAAGCAAAAUCUGAUGUCCUUUUAAUUCAGCCUUCUAGUUCAUGGUUAAUAUUUGAGUGUUUGAAGGCUAUUGAAAAUUGGUUAAGAAUGGAUAAUACAAUGGGAGGUCAUGUUAAUGUCUUAUCAGUGAAAACAGACAACAAGUCGGGCGACAAUUUUUUUGCAUUUAAGAAGACAUUAUCCAAGAUUAGGAAGGAAAAGUCUAUUUUCCGGUCAUCCAGUUCAUCUUCAGCCAGCAGUAACCUUGUGAAUUCACAGUAUUCUUCACCAACUCAGGGUGGAAUAAAUAUAGGUACUGACUCAGAGACUGGAAGAGGCACGGGACAGGACAUUAUCCCUGCUAUUGAUGAUUACAAUACAAAAGAAAGGGAGUAUACUGCUGAACUAGAAGCCCUACAUUUCCUAAGUCUGUCAGAGUGGCCAGUUAUACAAUAUGAUGUUAGUUCAGAGGAUAUCUCUGUGCACAUCCCUUUACACCGAUUGUUGUCACUGGUUUUACAAAGAGUACUGAGGAGGUGUUAUGGUGAGUACACUUCACCGAGUUCAAUUAAUGCCAGUUCUGAUUCAUCAUCAGCUACCUACCAGGAUUUCUUUGGGCAUAUCUUAGGAGGGUGCCACCCUUUUGGGUUCUCUGCCUUUGUUAUGGAGCAUCCUUUACGGAUUAGAGUCUUCUGUGCUCAGGUUCAUGCUGGAAUGUGGAGAAAGAAUGGGGACACUGCUAUAUUAUCUUCGGAGUGGUAUCGUUCAGUUCGCGGGUCUGAGCAAGGCUUAGAAUUUGAUCUAUUUCUGCUGCAAUGCUGUGCUGCAUUGGCUCCAGCAGAUCUUUAUGUCAAUAGGAUUUUAGAGCGUUUUGGGUUGUCAAGUUACCUGUCUCUUACUCCUGAUCGCUCUAGUGAGUAUGAACCAGUACUGGUGCAGGAAAUGCUCACACUUAUCAUACAAAUAGUAAAAGAAAGACGGUUUUCUGGACUAACCACAGAUGAGUGUUUGCAACGAGAAUUAAUCUAUAAGCUAGCUACGGGAGAUGCCACUCACAGUCAGCUGGUGAAGUCACUGCCCCCUGAUCUUUCCAAAAUUGAUCAUCUUCAGGAAAUUUUGGAUAGAAUAGCUGUUUAUUCUAAUCCGUCAGGCGUGAACCAGGGCAUGUAUAAGCUGCGAUUGCAAUAUUGGAAAGAACUGGAUUUAUAUCACCCACGUUGGAACUCAAGGGAUUUACAAAUUGCGGAAGAGAGGUACUUCCGCUUCUGCAGAACUUCUGCAUUGACCUCUCAGCUUCCUAGGUGGAUAAAGAUAUAUAAUCCUCUUGCUAGCAUUGCUAGGCUGGCUACUUGUAGGGUGGUUCUCAAAAUUGUCCGUGCUACAUUAUUUUAUGCCAUUCAAGCUGAUAAUUCAACUGCAUCACGUGCACCUGAUGCAGUACUGCUGACAGCAUUGCAUCUACUGUCAUUAGCAUUGGAUAUCUGUUUUCAGCAGAGGGAAUCUGGUGAUCUAUUCUAUUGUAGUGGUGAUUCAGUUCCUAUCUUAGCUUUUGCUGGUGAAGAAGUAUGUGUAGAACUCAAUAAUAGAUCUGCUGGCCAGAGCUUGUUAUCACUUCUUGUCUCAUUGAUGAGGGAGUACAGGAAGGAAAAAUUAGGCAACUCUCUGGAAGCUGGUGGUUAUGAUCUUUCCUCUCUGGUUGAAAGUUUAUUAAAUAAGUUUGCAGAGCUUGACUCUGGAUGUAUGACUAAACUACACAAACUUGCACCUGAAGUGAUCAAUCAUCUAUCACGUUCUGGUUCAAGUAGUAGUAUGGAUCUUGGUGGUUCAGCCACUGAAGGGGAUAACCGCAAGGCAAAAGCUCGAGAGAGACAAGCUGCCAUGUUGGAAAAAAUGAGAGCUCAACAAUCAAAAUUUUUGGCUAGCUUUAAUUCUGUGGAACAUGAUGUGUUGGGUGAUUCAAAAGUAGGAGAAGAAGCAUGUCCUGAGAUCAGAACUGAUUCUGUAGAGCACACACAAGAUGUCUGCUCUCUUUGCCAUGAUCCUCAAUCAAAAAAUCCUCUAUCUUAUCUGAUUCUUCUCCAGAAAUCCAGGCUUCUGAGCCUUGUUAACAGAAGUCCCCCAUUGUGGGAACAAGUUUGUUGCUCAGACAGGGAAUAUGAUCCUAUCCACUCAACCAAGAUAAAUGUUCCAUCUAGUAGGGACACUGCGAUGGGCAAUUCAGGAUUGAUUUCAUCUGCUCAGUUGAAUCAGUUGAUUCAGAAUGCAGUAAAUGAGUUCGCUUCUGAUGGACAACCUAGAGAGGUCAACGCUUUCAUAGAAUUCAUCAAGGCUCGGUUUCCAUCAGUUAGGAAUAUUCAACUGCCUUACUCAUCGAAUGAUACAAGGGAAAGGACUAUUUUUUCUUUUGAGGCACUAGAAGAACACAUGUAUGUAACCAUUCGCGAACAGAUGGGGAAGUCAUCGUUAGAUUCAGAUUUUGUACAGGUUGGUCCAAGCUCACCAGCAAUUGACCGCAAUUCGACAGGUGGAGUUGCCGAGUCUCUUUUGCUUGGAAAAUAUAUUGCUUCUCUUUCAAAAGAGACAAUCAACAAGCCUUCAGCUUCAGGAAAUACACGAUCUCGAAGUGCAGCACUAUCCGAAUCCUCUACGCCUCUUUCUGACUAUCAAGGAUUUGGUCCCCUAGAUUGUGAUGGAAUCCAUGUUUCUUCCUGCAGGCAUGCUGUGCAUCAGGCAUGUCUUGAUCGUUAUUUAUCAUCACUGAGGGAAAGGUAUAGUAGAAGAAUUGUUUUUGAAGGAGGUCACAUUGUAGAUCCAGAUCAGGGGGAGUUUCUUUGCCCAGUAUGUCGUGGCCUUGCAAAUUCAGUCUUGCCUACAAUACCUGGAGAUUCUUUUAGGCCACCAAUGGAGUCAACUGAGAGUUUGUCAGAUGCUACAGGACAUUCGACCUCACUAAACAGAGAAAUUGGUGUCAUUGGUUUUCGGGAAGCUUUGUCUCUUCUGCGUAAUGCAGCUGAUGUUGCUGGUAGGAGUGAAAUUCUGCAAGCUUUUCCAAUGCAUCGAACUGGAAGGAUAAGACCAAAUCUCGAAUCCCUGUUUCGUGUGCUAUCUGGAAUGUAUUUUCCUGGAAAACAGGAUAAGAUUUCAGGGUCUGCUAGGGUUAAUCACUCUAUGAUUUUGUGGGACACUCUCAAGUACUCUCUUAUAUCUACAGAAAUUGCUGCUCGCUGUGGAAGGACUUCUUUGGCUCCAAAUCAUGCCAUUAAUUCUUUGUAUAAGGAACUAAAUUCUUCAAGUGGGUUUACAUUGUCCUUGUUGCUAAAGAUUGUGCAAAGCAUGAGGACGAAGAACAGUCUUAGUAUACUUCUUAGACUGAGAGGUAUUCAGCUCUUUGCAGAAUCAGUGUGCUCUGGUGUUUCUUUAGAUGAAUUUCCAAUGCGGAAAUAUAGACGAGGUAACAUGUUGUCUAUCUUGAAAAAUGUUGAGACAGAUGUGCCAUAUCCAGAUAUCCAAUUUUGGAGACAAGUUUCUGAUCCUGUUCUUUCUCGUGAUGCUUUUUCAUCAUUGAUGUGGGUACUUUUUUGUCUUCCAUCCCCAUUUCUGUCUUCUGAAGAAUCCUUCUUAUCCCUUGUGCAUCUUUUCUAUGUUGUCUCCGUGGUUCAGGCCAUAAUAACUUAUUACAGCAAAUGUAGACACGACGCAAUAGAUUUAGGGUGUCAUGAUGGUCUGAUCACUGACAUCUUCAAAAUUAUGGUAGAUUAUGAAGUUAUUGGGAAAUAUGUUGUUUCCAACUAUCUUGAUCUUUCUUAUGAUAUCAAGGAUACUAUCCGUAGCUUGAGUUUUCCUUAUUUGCGAAGAUGUGCAUUGCUAUGGAAAGUAUUGCAAUCUUCCACCUCUGCAUCAUUUCAUGAUGGAGACCAAGUGUUGGAUAAGUCAUCUCAUGCUUUUGAUGACAUGAUGGAAUAUGGCAAUGGCGUUAUGGGUGAACUUAUUGAAGUUGAAAAGCUGGAGAAGAUGUUUAAACUUCCCUCUCUGGAUGUUGUUCUUAAUGAUGAAAUGCUACGGCCCGUAGUUUUGAGAUGGUUCCAUCAUUUUAACAAGGAGUUCCAAGUUCGUAACUGUCAAUGUGCAUUGCACUUAAACCCUGCAGUUCCAUUUAAGCUGAUGCAUCUGCCAUACCUCUAUCAGGAUAUCUUGCAGAGGUAUAUAAAGCAGCGCUGUGCUGCUUGCGGACUUUCUCUGGAAGAGCCAGCAUUGUGCCUGCUAUGUGGUAAAGUGUGCUCUCCGAAUUGGAAGAUUUGCUGCAGGGAAAGUGGGUGCCAAACUCAUGCAAUGGCUUGUGGUGCUGGUAUAGGAGUAUUCCUGUUGAUUAAAAAAACCACAAUCCUGCUCCAGAGAUCUGCACGUCAGGCACCUUGGCCUUCCCCAUACUUGGAUGCAUUUGGUGAAGAAGAUGUUCAAAUGAAUAGGGGGAAGCCAUUGUUUUUGAAUGAGGAACGUUAUGCAGCCCUUACUCACAUGGUUGCAUCUCAUGGCCUUGACCGGAGUUCAAAAGUUCUUCGGCAGACAACUACUGGCGGUCUUUUCAUGCUUUAGAUGAUUCCUGUUAAACACAAGGAUGUCAGAUAUGGUUUGUGCUCUGUUACGCCACAGAUCACUCGGAUUACUACUCAGCGUGGUUUGGGAAUUUACUUGUUGAAAGUGGAUUUUCUGGUAGCAGCCACUCCUACGUCUAUUUGGUGCAUACUCUGUACAGUUGGUUGUAUAAAUCAAACAAAAACUCGUUUCAAGGGACAAACAAGGAAUUUGCAUAUUCUCGUUUUAUCUGCUUUUAGGGUUGUACCCUGUAGUUAAUUUCGUGCACUUGGUCCGUUUUAUCUGUUGUGUGUGGUUGCGUUGCGUGUAAGGUGCUAGGCCUAAUGCACGAGAUUGAUCAAGAUGCUUUGGGCUUAAACCGGUGUAUGGUGGCUUGGCUAAUUUUUUGGGCCUCUUCCACAAUGUUGGGGCGAUCCGAAGUGGUGGGAUCUCUGUUCGUCAAGGCUUUGGCGUUCGGCUGGUGCAUGAGGCCCAAUCCCUCGGUGAAACUUCCAUCAUAUUAUCGCUAUUUGGGGCCAGUGUUUAGGGCUUGGCCAUUUGUACUAGUCUCACCGAGUUUUCACCCGAACUAGUCUCGUUUAAAGGGUAAGGGUGUUUUUUUUUUUUUUUUUUUUUUAAAUCAAUACGAGUUUUUGAGUGUAGAUUUAGGGGAAGAGUCGGGUGCAGAAACUGGGUGAUUCGGGGUGGGUAUUCAGAUCUGUAUAUUAUAUUAUAUUACUAAAACUAUUAUCUUUAUUUUAUAUUUUAGGUUUUUAA